rnacentral:rRNA from 1 species
AGAUUAAGUUAUUAAGGGCGCACGGUGGAUGCCUUGGCACUAGAAGCCGACGAAGGACGUUACUAACGACGAUAUACUUUGGGUAGCUGUAAGU